AUUCAGAUGCACAUUAAAAUUCGAGAAACAUUAGUAGUUUCUUUAACCCUUAACUUGCUUGGCUGUGAAAUGGGAAUAAUAACUGCUAACUUACAGGGUUGUUGUGAGGUUUAAAAAGGCAACACACUCAAAGUAUCUACCACAGUACAGAGCACAUAGGGGAUAUUUUUAUUGUUUCUGCCUGAUGAAUGCUGUCUUAGGAGGGGGCGGGAGUCUGCCGUGGCCCACAUUAAGAGUUCUGGGGUCUGCUCCAGCGCUCCAGUGAGCCCUGGGGCACUGUAGUGGAGCAGGCUUAGCAGCCCACAGAAGGAAGAGUAAGGGAGGGGAAACAGAAUCUCAGCAUGGCUCAGGUUUUAGUAGGUCUUAUGAUCUCUUUCCAAUUUUUAAGGGGCCUUAAUCACUGAGGACAAGUGUAUGCUGACCUGUAAUGCUGGGGCUUCCUGAGCCAGCCCAUCAAUGAAGGACUGUGCCAUCAGGGCCCACCUGGAUCUUCCUCACAUGAUGAAGUUCAUUAUAUGAAUUAGGUGAAAUUCACAGAGCUUCAGUCAAUUUAUGCAUGAUCAAGCUGUGGAACAGGAAAGUGGUGGCUGUUUGGAUUGGGCAUUUUUGUGUUAAUUAAACAUUAGCGCUGACUAAUAACUCCAUCCAACACAUGGAACAUAUCACAUUUGUGAGAACUUACUUUGCAUAGACCAUUUCAUUUUAUACUGGCUUAUUUAGUUUUUGAAAAUCAUGACGAAACUGUACACUGAGAUCCAUUUGGAGGUAGGGGGCGAUUUAUCAGCAUUUCCGCAAGAUAGCUCCCAUGUAGUGAUGCCUUUUCCUCUCAGAAUUCCCAGACUCAGUUGCUGCUGGAAAGAGAGGACCUACAAGUCUGCCUGGCCUGCAGGCUGCUCCCCUGGGGGCAGGGAUCGAACGGAGACAUCUUUCUGCUUAUCCCGGGUCUGCUCUCAUCAGAUCAUACCAGCCCAUAAGGGCAGGUAACCAAGCGGGAAUGAUGUUGAUUCAAUGACACCAGCUUCAAUUUCUAACCUUCAGGCCUUGCUCCCAGACAAAUUAGAUUAGGGUUGCUCCUAAAGCCACUCUGGCACACGAUGGAAAAGCCUUGCCCAGGGAGACACAUACGCGCACUGGCAAAAGGCAUGUGAGUCCUUCAGUGACAUGGCCUGAGGUUGGCUCAGCCUAGGAUUGAGAUUUGGGGACCCUGGGCAACACACAGGCAUUACUGGCAGGGAUAGGAGUCAGUGGCCAAGGUGGGGCUAGUUGCCAGGGUGGUUUCUGCUGUGCAGUCUCAACUCAGGACAUACUUAGAGAUUGGAAUUGCCAGUAAGGUGGGCAGACCAGGGCACAGGAAGCCACAGCAGGGCACUGUUCUUAGAGCAGGCUCAGCCCCAGGGGCAUCUAAGUACAGGAUUUGCCUUCCAGGACCUUAUAAUCCAAUAGGAGAGAUUAAACUCACAGCAACAAAGAGUCCAGAUAAGUGCGGUUGUUGCCACAGUGAGUCAGCAUCAGCUCUAGCCUUAAUUCUCAGAUCAGAGCAUGGGGAUAGUGGAGAGAGGAUGAAAUCAGAAGGUGAAGUGUUGAACUUGUUUUUACCUAGCAUUAUUGAAGGUACAUGCAAAAACAUGCAAUAAACUGCACAUACUUAAAUGAAUAUUUUAUAUAUUUUGUCAUACGUUUAUACCUGUUAAAUCAACAGCACAAACAAGAUAAUAAAAUCUGUCACCCCCAAAAGUUUCCUUAUGCCUUUUGGAAAUUCUCCCUUUCAUCUCUCCCUGCUCCCAAUCCCCAGGUAAUCACCAAUCAGCUUUCUGUCAUUGUGGAAUAGUUUGCAUUUUCUAGAAUUUCACAUAAAUAGACUCAAACAGUAUAUACUCUCUUUUGUCAGACUUCUUUCAUUUAGCAUAAUUAUUUUUAUUUUCCCCCAGGUUGUUGCAUAAAUCAACAGUUCAUUCCUUCUUAUUGCUGAGUUGUGUUCUCCUGCAUACCAC
rnacentral:lncRNA from 1 species